GGGUUGGUGGUCUAGUCCGGUUAUGACAUCGCCUUCACACGGCGAGGGUCGGCGGUUCGAAUCCGCCCCAACCCA
rnacentral:tRNA from 3 species